rnacentral:rRNA from 1 species
AGAUUGAACGCUGGCGGCAGGCCUAACACAUGCAAGUCGAGCGGUAGAGAGGUGCUUGCACCUCUUGAGAGCGGCGGACGGGUGAGUAAUGCCUAGGAAUCUGCCUAGUCGGUGGGGGAUAACGUUCGGAAACGGACGCUAAUACCGCAUACGUCCUACGGGAGAAAGCGGGGGACCUUCGGGCCUCGCGCCAUUAGAUCGAGCCUAGGUCGGAUUAGCUAGUUAGGUGAGGUAAUGGCUCACCAAGCGACGAUCCGUAACUGGUCUGAGAGGAUAGAUCAGUCACACUGGAACGGAGACACGGUCAGACUCCGUACGGAGCAGCAGGUGGGAAUAUUGGACAAUGGGACGAAAGCCUAGGAUCCAAGCCAAUCGCCGCGUGUGUGGAAGAAGGGUCUUACGGAAUUUACGGUAAAAGUCG